rnacentral:lncRNA from 1 species
GGUUGAUGUUUGUUGGUCUUGGGUUGCUGGUUCUGUCUCCUCUAUACGAAAUGUACAAAAAAUAUAGAUGAAGAAAAAUAAAAGUAGAAUAGUAAAUAUACUUGUUAUUGCAAGUUGAACAAUAGCAAGGCCAAUAGUGUCAUCAUAUUGUAGAUAUUUUACAGUUACUACCAUGUUUUCGAUCGCAAACAUUAGCAAAGUGAUUAGUGUGACUAAAAUCCCUUUCUGUAAUCCUUUUGCC